GACGAACGCUGGCGGCGUGCUUAACACAUGCAAGUCGAACGAGAUCCAACGAGUGGCAACACUCGGGAAGAUCGAGUGGCGAACGGGUGCGUAACACGUGAGAAACCCACCCCGAACUCUGGGAUAACAGGCGGAAACGCUUGCUAAUACCGGAUGCCUCCGCCGAGCCACAUGGCUUGGCGAAGAAAGGUCCGCCGGUUCGGGACGGUCUCGCGGCCUAUCAGCUUGUUGGUGGGGUAACGGCCUACCAAGGCAUCGACGGGUAGCUGGUCUGAGAGGAUGAUCAGCCACACUGGGACUGAGACACGGCCCAGACUCCUACGGGAGGCAGCAGUGGGGAAUCUUGCCCAAUGGGCGCAAGCCUGAGGCAGCAACGCCGCGUGCGGGAAGAAGGCCCUCGGGUUGUAAACCGCUUUCAGCAGGAACGAAACUGACGGUACCUGCAGAAGAAGGUGCGGCCAACUACGUGCCAGCCGCCGCGGUAAUAC
rnacentral:rRNA from 1 species